rnacentral:tRNA from 1 species
GCCGUUGUAGCUCAGUGGUAGAGCACGUCAUUGGUAAUGACGGGGUCGAAAGUCCGAUUCUUUUCAGCGGCACCA